rnacentral:rRNA from 1 species
UACAGAGGUCUCAACCGUUGUUCGGAUUCAUUGGGCGUAAAGGGUGCGUAGGCGGUCGGGUAAGUCGGAUGUGAAAUCUCAGGGCUCAACCCUGAAACUGCAUUCGAUACUGCCUGGCUAGGGUACUGGAGAGGAGACUGGAAUUUACGGUGUAGCAGUGAAAUGCGUAGAUAUCGUAAGGAAGACCAGUGGCGAAGGCGAGUCUCUGGACAGUUACCGACGCUGAGGCACGAAAGUCAGGGGAGCAAACGGG